rnacentral:pre_miRNA from 1 species
UUCCCUUUGUCAUCCUAUGCCUGAGCCAUAAAAGGAGGCUGGGAUGGUAAGGGGAGGU